ACACAGAGACACCAUGCCUUGAAAAACCAAAAACCAAAACAAAACAAAACAAAAAGCCCCAGAACCCUGCCACACAGGUCUCUUGUCUCCUCUAUGCUUUUUAUCCUUGAAGGAGUCUGGCUCACUCCCUUGUUAAGCACUGUUGCCUAGAGAAUAUGGUAAUUAUAUGUGGUGCUUAGGACAUUUGAAAUAUACAGGGGAAGUAUGAAGCCGGAGUGAGUAUGCUUGAGCAUGUGUGUGGUGACAGUGGGUAAAAGGCAGGGCCUCUACUUUGCCACCAGCUGGUGUAGUGUCAGAAAAGUGACAGCAAUGUAGAUAUGAACGCUUAGGCUUCUGUGCACAUUCCUGCAUUUAAUUAUGAAUGCUAACGACCACUUGUGGUAACAUUUUCCCAUUUCUGCUUAUCAGCGGUCACUUUAAGAUAGUAUGCAACAAGAACUUGCUGAUUUGCUAUCCAAAAUCCACCUCAUGAAAUGAAACUGCGCCUCUGGAGAUGAAAGAUGACAGGCUUAUUGAUGUGUUUGGAUGCGUGCUGGGUUCCUGCGAUGAGGGGAUUGGCUUAUUGGAAGAUGGGUUCCAUCAAAGUAAGGAAGUCAUUAAAACAUGAAACUUAAAGAGAACUAUCAUCAUUGUCUUCAAAUUUAAGAUCUGGAAAAAAUAGAUGAAACACAUCUUUGAUAAAUUAUUUGGGGUAAAUGAAAAUCUGUAUGUGGCUUCAUCCACAGCUAUCAAAUGGCCAGACAUGGGGUGCACUUGUGAUUUUUAAGGUGAGUGUGUAUACAGGUUAAACUCAGCUGGACUUUGUUCACACUUGCUGGUGUGUCAGUGGGGAGGAGAGAUGCACACAGACCCUUCUGUCACCAAGCCCAUGCCUUGAUUCAUGGCUUACAUAUGCCAGGGGAUUAUUCCACUGCAG
rnacentral:lncRNA from 1 species